GUUACUGGGCUGUGUCCCCCAAUUACAGGGCAAUGUCCCCUCAUAGUGUCUCCCAGUUAUACAGUAUUGUCCCCCCAUUAUAAGGUAGUAUCCCCAGUUACUAGAUAGUGUCCCCCAGUAACAGGAUAAUGUCCCCCAAUUGCAGGGCAAUGUCCCCCAUUAUAGUGUCCCCAAGUUAUAAGCUGGAGUCCCCCAGUAACAGGAUAAUAGGAUAGUGUUCCCCAGUACAGGGCAGUGUCCCCAGUUACUCACUAGUGUCCCCUAGUAACAGGGCAGUGUCCACCCAGAUACAGCCUAGUGUCCCUCAGUUACACAAUAGUGUGUCCCCCAGUGGUAGGACAGUCUACUACUGAGUCCUCCUGGCAUGAGUCGAGCUGAGAUUAGGAUAGGGUAAUGACCCUUCAGUUUUGGGGAAGGGACCAGAGCUCGGCCAGUGAGAAGCUUCCAGCUCCGUCUGGCCAUAUCCAGGCUGCUGAGGGUCCUGGGCUCUGUCCUUAAACCUCAUCACUGACAUGACCCAGCAAACCUCCUCAAGAGGAAAAAGUCCCCUUGGGUCAAACACAGCUUGUGCAGUUCUCGGGGACCUCCUCCUGCCAUCCUGGGGAUGCUGUGGAGAAUGGAGAUGCACAGGGGGCUUUGUCCUCUCCUCUGCCUUUUGGAGAAAAUAUUUCACUCAAGGCAAACGCAGCCUGAGGGCAGCACAGGGGACCCCAAGGCUCACUGCGCAUUUCUAGUCGCCCCCAAACGCGUGGGUUUUCCUCCUGUUCUCCUCGUGGGUGCCUUUGCUCAUUCUCAUCCUCCUGUUCUCAUCCAGUCUGCCCAGUCUGACCGGCUCCCAGCAGCAUCCGCCCAAAAGUUUCUCCCAUGACAGCAGGAAGCAGCCUCAGACAAUACAUGAUGGACAGGCCUGGCUGUGUUCCAAUAGAACCCCGAGUCAGUCAGCCCGAGCCUCCCUCUCAGCUGGAUACUGUUAAUGACAGGGGUACACAUUCCCCUCCCCUUUCCAAUGUUUUAAAACUCUAGGACAGUGAUUCUCAAACACUUUGGUCUCAAAACCCCUAAGAGCAUUUGCUUAUGUGGCUUUUAUCUGUUGAUAGUUGCUACCUGAGAAAUUAAAACUGAGAAAUCUAAAAAUAGAUUUAUUUUAGGAAGUCACUAAAAAUAAUAAGCCCAUUGCAUGUUAACAUGAAAUAGCAUAUUUUUACAAAAAAAUAAAUUUUCUAAAAACAAAACAUCUAAGUGAGAAGAGUGGCAUUGUUGUACUUGUUUUGCAAAUCUUUUCAGUGUCCGGUUUAUGAGAUGACAGCACUUUGGUUUGUUGCCAACCAUUCACUUAUAAAGAAACCCUUUUCCAAUAAUUAGCUGGGGCUGGUGCUAGAGCAAUACCAGAAGUUCAGCGAUGUCUGUAGAUUUGUCCAAAUGUAUGUGAAGAGACUGUGUUUACUCAGUUUUUAUGUUUGCAGUUAAAUCUUCAAUUUGAUGAGUUAUUUUAUCAUUGCAAAGUGGCAGUGUCAGGGUUUCCUUUAUUGACUUAUCCAGCAGGCAUUCAGCUAUAUCAACUCUACAUAUGAAGUAAGGAGUUGAAUUAAGCAGAGUAGUUAAUAAAAAGCUUUUUUUUUUCAUGUUUUAAAAAUGUGACGUUGUCAGGCCUCUGAGCCCAAGCUAAGCCAUCAUGUCCUCUGUAACCUGCACGUACACAUCCAGAUGGCCGGUUCCUGCCUUAACUGAUGACAUUCCACCACAAAAGAAGUGAAAAUGGCCUGUUCCUGCCUUAACUGAUGACACUAUCUUGUGAAAUUCCUUCUCCUGGCUCAUCCUGGCUCAAAAGCUCCCCUACUGAGCACCUUGUGACCUCCACUCCUGUCUGCCAGAGAACAACCCCCCUUUGACUGUAAUUUUCCUUUACCUACCCAAAUCUUAUAAAACGGCCCCACCCCUAUCUCCUUUCGCUGACUCUUUUCAGACUCAGCCCGCCUGCACCCAGGUGAAAUAAACAGCCUUGUUGCUCACA
rnacentral:lncRNA from 1 species